GGUGGGGUUCCCGAGCGGCCAAAGGGAGCAGACUGUAAAUCUGCCGUCAUCGACUUCGAAUGUUAUAAUCCUUCCCCCACCACCA
rnacentral:tRNA from 1 species